UACGUAGGGUGCAAGCGUUAAUCGGAAUUACUGGGCGUAAAGCGUGCGCAGGCGGUUAUGUAAGACAGGUGUGAAAUCCCCGGGCUUAACCUGGGAACUGCAUUUGUGACUGCAUAGCUAGAGUACGGUAGAGGGGGAUGGAAUUCCGCGUGUAGCAGUGAAAUGCGUAGAUAUGCGGAGGAACACCGAUGGCGAAGGCAAUCCCCUGGACCUGUACUGACGCUCAUGCACGAAAGCGUGGGGAGCAAAUGGG
rnacentral:rRNA from 1 species